GCGCGCGCACGCCGGAAGCCGUCAGCGCCGGCCGCCGCCCAAUCAGCGCGGCGACGCCCCCCCUCCACCGCCCCCCCCCGCCCGCCCCCGUUGCCAUGGCGGCGGCGGCGGCCCCGCUCCCCCGCCGCCUUCCCCCGUCCGCCACAGGCCGCCCCGCUCCCCGGGCCCGCCGCCGGGGCUCUCCCGGACAGGAGAGCGGCCCGGAAACCGAGCCAAAUGACCGGAUUUAUUUUUUUUUCUUGUCGCGUUUCGCCGAUGCCGAGACGGGGACAGUGCCUCGGGGGGGGGUCACCGAGCUCUCCUCGGCUGCUUGUGCAGACAGACAGACAGACAGAGACUUCCUCUACCGCCGCAGGAGCGCAUGCAGGAGGUGCUCGGGGCAGCCGUGGCAGGGAGCCGGGCAGGAGCAGGGUCCCCCGCCGCCCGAGGGGAGCAGGCCGCAGGCCCGGGGGCUGCUCGCCCGUCUCCCUCCGGGGCGAGGGGCUGCCCGCCCGCUCCUCUCACACCUUCCCCUCCCCGGCAGCCUGCGCCGCAGCGGGUCUGUCUGCCAGCUCCCCUCGCACAGAACAAAAUUAGGCAGCUGUUGAGUAUUUAUCAUUAAUACCGUGUUACUUCACAGCUCGACGUCCCAGAAGAGCUUUUACUCUCCCCAAGAGGUUUUGCCCAGGUCUGCUUGGCAAACAGUUUGCAUUUGUCUGGUGGACUCAAAAUAAAGGAAAGAAUAGUAUGAUCUCCUGGCUUGUCUCUGACAGCCCGGUAUGUUUUCCUUGCGUUGCCCGAAAUUCCACUGACUUCCACGAGACUCGAGAAGCCGGGAACAAACCUACCCUUCUUACUUCUGUGCCGUGAGCUGUGUCAAUCCACUAUGAAUAACGGCCUGUUACAAUCAGGCAUAGCAGAAAUAAGUGCAAGGGUUUUUGUAUAGUUACAUGAGUUACGUACAAAUAAUGGUGGUUGUAAUGUUUUUUUUCAGCCUUGAAUUUUACAGACUAGUGGAACAAUCAGAAAUUUUAAAAACACCAGAAUAUAGGCCAUAAUAUUUGACUUUUUUUUUUCUUUUCACUUUAAUCACAUCCAGAUAUUGAGAAUGAGGAGAAGACAGGGCAUUACCUAAUAGGAUGAAGAGGCUAUGCAAACAAACAUGGACUAAUCCAGUGCCAUGCAGCUAAGAUAGAAGGACGUCCUGGUCACUGUGGAACAGUAGCAGCUUUACCUGGGGAGAAAUCAGAGCUGCUUCAUCAGUGCCAUUUUCAUGCUGUGGUUGGUCUCAGGAAAAGGAUUGCAUUGAUGAAUUAGUGCUACAACCCUCCCAGCCAUGGAAGAAUACAUCUUACAAGAAAAUUCAUAGGUGACUAAUAGGCUAGAUUGGUCAUCCCUCACCCACAGUGGUAAGCAGACUUCUGAGAUGUGGGAGAAAUGUUUUGGUAUACCUGGAAAUCAGUCAAGAUUAAAAUUAAAUUAAGCAUCUAAACACAGAAUUUGGAAUUUAACAUGCUGUGCCUUGUGAACAAAAACAAAAAAGAAAAAUUAAUUUCCACUGUGGAUAUUUUAGUCUUGAAUCAUGCUUUUUUACUACAUUUCAGCAAUGUCCUGUAUCUUAAUACCUUUGCUUUCAUGUUAGUUUGUUUUUAAAGUUUGUCGGUCAUUACGCAAUGUCAUUUAGAAUCAACUUAGCACCUUUCGUUGUGUUGAGUAGUUCCAGUGAAUAAUGAUUGCGGGAUUAGCCUGCUAGUAAUUAAAUGUUGUUGCCUUUUAGCUUGAAAAUGAAACACCUCUAUGGAAUUUAAGAGUUUCUUGCUUUAUUUAGGUUGUGUGUCUAAAUAGUAUGGAUAGGCAUACCAGGUCAGUGCAGACACAAUGCAAUCUUAAAAAAAAAUAAAAAUUAACAAAAGCAAAAAGAAAAGAGAGAGGGAGGGAGGAAGAAGAGAGCAAGAAAGUGAGAGAAGGAGAACAAAUUCACCCAAUCAUUAAAACUUUGAAUAGCAUGGAAAAUUUUCCACACUUAGCUGAAUCCUGAGUGUAAUUUCCUAAUUUUGCCGUUGUAUGAUCCAAAUAAAGGGUUCAUGUCUGUACUCAUUUUCACUCACAGAUGGGUCUUCAAAAUUUGCAGGUGAUAAGUUGUGUAAAAUAGGAUGUAUUACCUAUUUGUUGAAGCCUAUAGGUGUACCUAUUUCAAUAAAGCAGAAGCUAGAUUCCUUACCAUUUGUGGACUAAAGAACCUGCUGAAUGCUUGCUUCCAUAUUGGCUUUACUACUGUGCAGAGUUUUACCACUUGAAUUCACUGAUUAAUGUUUUAAGCAGAAUGAAACCUUUAUAAAUUUUAUUUUUUCAAAACAUGCUGCCAAAAAUCACAGUAUUUCACCAUUCAAAGACAGUUCUUUGCUUCUUCAAAGACUUUAUUAAACUGAUCUGUACCAUCCUCCUCACAGGACUGUAGUGGUGUACCCUCGUAUGAUACAAAUUAUAAGCUUCUGUCUGAAAUAACAGGGAUGAUACCUAAUCCUGAACUGACAGCUGAAGGAUUUUAAAUAAAGGUUAUCAAUGACAGUUCUGUAAGCUAGCCUCAGUUCUGUCUGUCCUGUGCUAGGAUGAAGAUGAAGGCAUUUGACUCUCUUAACAAGAGAGAGGCUCUAAAAGCCUGAGCUUUUAUCCUUGAGCUUUUGUUACAUUUAAGGAUUCAUGCUGAAUAACAAUAAUAAAAGAUUAAUCCCA